rnacentral:rRNA from 1 species
CCCUUAGAUGUCCUGGGCUGCACGCGCGCUACACUGAUGUGUCCAGUAAGCACCUAACCUCUUCCGAAAGGAACGGGUAACCUUUGCAAAGCACAUCGUGAUGGGGAUAGAUUAUUGCAAUUAUUAGUCUUGAACGAGGAAUUCCUAGUAAGCACAAGUCAUCAGCUUGUGUUGAUUGCGUCCCUGCCCUUUGUACACACCGCCCGUCGCUCCUACCGAUUGAAUGUUCCGGUGAGCUCUUCGGACUGCGCGGUCUGCAGUUUCUGCGUUCCGUGCGGAAAGUUGCGCAAACCUUAACAUUUAGAGGAAGGAGAAGUCGUAACA